UACGUAGGGUGCAAGCGUUGUCCGGAAUUAUUGGGCGUAAAGAGCUCGUAGGCGGUUUGUCGCGUCUGCUGUGAAAACGCGAGGCUCAACCUCGCGCCUGCAGUGGGUACGGGCAGACUAGAGUGCGGUAGGGGAGAUUGGAAUUCCUGGUGUAGCGGUGAAAUGCGCAGAUAUCAGGAGGAACACCGGUGGCGAAGGCGGGUCUCUGGGCAACAACUGACGCUGAGGAGCGAAAGCGUGGGGAGCGAACAGGA
rnacentral:rRNA from 1 species